rnacentral:lncRNA from 1 species
GGUGCGCAGGCGCGCUGUCGCCCGGCCGGUAGCUAAGGAGGCCCAGCUGUGAUCCCGAGGCUUUGUAGGCGCCGCAGCCCUGGCCCUCUAGAGGCCGACGGAGGAGUGCGGGGGAAGUUAGCUUGCGCCUGUCUCGUCAGCCGUGCACGAGAAAAAAAAGGACCUUCGAGAAGAACAAGGGAGGGCAAGAGUUACCGAGUACAGGGACAUCUAUGUGGCCGCUCUGCUUUCCCGCCGUCACCUGCUGUUGAACUCCGGCCGCAUCGCGGUGUCCGGAGCCGCCUGGCCUGGAGUAUGCGCUGAGCGUCACCUAGGCAACCACCCCUGCACCUGUGGAUCAGGGUCUCGCUCUGUUGCCAAGGGUAGAAUGCAGUGUCGGGAUCAUAGCUCACUACAGACUUGACAUCCUGGACUCAAGAGAUCCUCCUGUGUCAGCCUCCCGAGUAGCUGGGACCACUGGCGCGCGACAAAUAAUUUGAAAGUGGGAGGAGGGGAACAGAACCACAUCAAAUGGCAGAUAUCAUAGAAUGAGAACUGAAUAUACGCGUUUUGUGGGAAACGCGUUCUUUUCCCCUUUCUCUAAGAUUCGCUUUUAAUUCACUAGCCACUAACCAGUUACCUAUCUCAUUACAGAUAUAAAAAACAAAA